AGAAGGUGCACUCCAUACUAAAGAUCACAAUGCUAUCCAAACAGCAAUCAGUUUUUGUCAUUGUUCACAUUGUUUCUGUUUAAAUAAUGUUUAUUACUCUGCUGAUAUCAGCUGAAAAAACAAAUGAACUACACAGAUUAUAGAUUCCCACUACAUAAACCAUGUGCACAAAUGUGAUAUCCUGGCCCAAGGCUUAAUAGAAUUAUUAGAGUACUCAUACCAACAAGGUGCAUCUUCUUUUUCGGACGUCUAUCUCGAAAGAACCUCCAAAGUGCGCAUGAGUGAGGACAAAGUGUGCACAAAAGACUCGUGUUGGUCUAUGGUCCUAGAGAGCUAACAGGAGUAAGUACCUCCGGUCCGAUAGUGGACGGGGUGUUACAAAUGGUAUCAGAGCCGACUCUCGCGGUUUCACGGGCGUGUGUGGGCUAGGGGUUCGGAUAUAUGGCGCAUGUGGGACCGGAGUGGUCACAUGACCAUGGCAUAUGACGACACUAGACAUACAGACGUGGCCAAGAGGGAAGGUUCCUAGAUUGAGGUUAGCCGACAAGGACAUUAGUCUUCUAAGAGGGUGGAUUGUGAUAUCAUGGUCCAAUGCUUAAUAGAAUUAAUAGAGUAAUCAUACCAACAAGGUGCAUCUUCUUUUUCGGAGUCUAUCUCGAAAUAACCUCCAAGUUAAGUGUGCUUGGCCUGGAGCAAUUUGAAAUGGGUGACCGACCGAGAAGUUUUCUCGGGUGCGCAUGAGUGAGGACAAAGUGCGCACAAAAGACUCGUGUUGGUCUGAUACCAUUUGUAAUACUCGUCCACUUCCGAACCGACAGUACUUACUUCUGACAGCUCUCUAGAAUCAUAGACCAUCCUCACAGACCAACACGAGUCUUUUGUGCGCACUUUAUCCUCACUCAUGCGCAACCGAGAAAACUUCUCGGUCGGUCAUCCAUCCUAAAUUGCUUUAAGCCAAUCACGUUUAAAUUAGAGGUUCUUUCGAGAUAGGCUUCCGAAAAAGAAGAUGCACCUUGUUGGUACGAGUACUCUAUUAAUUCUAUUAAGCCUUGGACCAGGAUAUCACCAUCAAUUAGGGCCAGGAUAUCACAAUAAACAUUACUACCUGUUAUCCAUUGGUAUUCUUCAACUCUACUGCAUAACUCACAAAAAAAACUCUUGCUGCUUGAGUAAACCAAAAACAACCAUGUCUACCAAAGAAAACUGAAGACAUUGUUU
rnacentral:lncRNA from 1 species